UACGAAGGGUGCAAGCGUUACUCGGAAUUACUGGGCGUAAAGCGUGCGUAGGUGGUUCGUUAAGUCUGAUGUGAAAGCCCUGGGCUCAACCUGGGAAUGGCAUUGGAAACUGGCGACCUAGAGUGCGGUAGAGGGUAGUGGAAUUCCCGGUGUAGCAGUGAAAUGCGUAGAGAUCGGGAGGAACAUCUGUGGCGAAGGCGACUGCCUGGACCAGCACUGACACUGAGGCACGACAGCGUGGGGAGCAAACAGG
rnacentral:rRNA from 1 species